rnacentral:rRNA from 1 species
UACGUAGGGUGCGAGCGUUAAUCGGAAUUACUGGGCGUAAAGCGUGCGCAGGCGGUUUGUUAAGCCAGAUGUGAAAGCCCCGGGCUCAACCUGGGAACUGCGUUUGGGACUGGCAAGCUAGAGUACGGCAGAGGGGGGUGGAAUUCCACGUGUAGCAGUGAAAUGCGUAGAUAUGUGGAGGAACACCGAUGGCGAAGGCAGCCCCCCGGGUUAACACUGACGCUCAGGCACGAAAGCGUGGGGAGCAAACAGG